GAGACUCUGUGCGCGUGCAUAUCAAUAAGCGGAGGAAAAGAAACUAACAAGGAUUCCCUUAGUAACGGCGAGUGAAGCGGGAAGAGCUCAAAUUUGAAAUCUUCAAGGUUCUACCUUGACGAAUUGUAGUUUAUAGAAGUGUUUUCUGUUAGUAGAGUGGCAAAAGUUCUUUGGAAUAGGACAUCAUAGAGGGUGAGAAUCCCGUAUUUGGUCAUUCUUCCUAGCUUUGUGAUACACUUUCAACGAGUCGGAUUGUUUGGGAAUGCAGUCCAAAAUGGGUGGUAAAUUUCAUCUAAAGCUAAAUAUUGGCGAGAGACCGAUAGCGAACAAGUACCGUGAGGGAAAGAUGAAAAGAACUUUGAAAAGAGAGUUAAACAGUACGUGAAAUUGUCAAAAGGGAAGCGUUCGACACCAGUGUUGUUUUUCCGAAAAUCAAUUACGAAUGUUUUGUUUUUGAGGAGUUAUGACUUCAUCGGCUUGCUCCUUUCUUUAUGAAACUUUCUUAAUGCACUUUUCGGUUAACAAGUCAACAUCAAUUUCUUUUGUUGUAAAAGGGUAUGAGGAAGGUGGCUUUCUUUUCGGAGAAAGUGUUUAUAGCCUUGUGCCUCUGCAAUCGGAGAGAUUGAGGUCUGCAGCGUAGAUUCCUUCGGGGUUAGAUACAUUUGUGCUAAGUUAUAGCUUUUCAUAGACAACUUGUUGACUAUGUUUAGUCUUGUAGCUUACUCGCUUACUGCUAUUUUACCUACGCUUAGGAUGUUGACAGCAGUAUAGACUGU
rnacentral:rRNA from 1 species